GAUGAACGCUGGCGGCGUGCCUAAUACAUGCAAGUCGAGCGAACAGAUAAGGAGCUUGCUCCGUUGAAGUGAGCGGCGGGCGGGUGAGUAACACGUGGGUAACCUACCUAUAAGGAUGGGAUAACUUGGAGAACGGAACUAACACCGGAGAACAGAGGGAGACGCAGGGUGAUCAAGGGACAGCAGGCUAUGCUAUGACCCUUGGAUGGACCCGCGACGUAUUAGCGAGUUGGUAAGGUAACGGCUUACCAAGGAGACGAUACGUAGCCGACUUGAGAGGGUGAUCGGCCACCCUGGAACUGAGACACGGUCCAGACUCCUACGGGAGGCAGCAGUAGGGAAUCUUCCGCAAUGGGCGAAAGCCUGACGCAGCAACGCCGCGUGAGUGAUGAAGGGUUUCGGCUCGUAAAACUCUGUUAUUAGGGAAGAACAAACGUGUAAGUAACUGUGCACGUCUUGACGGUACCUAAUCAGAAAGCCACGGCUAACUACGUG
rnacentral:rRNA from 1 species